rnacentral:misc_RNA from 1 species
CUUUCAAAUCAGGGUGCGUCGCGGCCCCCGAGGAGCGGAAACAAUCCUUGGGAGGUUUGCGGAGUCUUCGGACCCCUUAACGCACGCACGACUGCCAUCCUUACUUUACGAGCACCUUCUGUUCUCCCUCGGCGGGGCAACCUGCCGUUGGAACCGAAUAAACUCUUUUUGCAUCUAGCAUUACCUGUUCCGAAACAAACAAUCGUUACAACUUUCAACAAUGGAUCUCUUGGCUCU